CCCGCGCAGGGGCAGUUACAAUUAUGAUGAGGCCAAGUGAACAACCAAAAAGGUGCACAAAUGUAACCUGUCCCGUUCAGUGCUGCAGGGUGGCGUCACACUGACACCUAGCGUGCAUAGAGGGAAUUACAAGCUACCAGCAGGGAAUUUCUUGAACAUUCAGCUCCAUUAACCCCAUAUAGCUCACAAAGGGACACAACAAAAGAACUUCAGCAGAGUGAAUGGAGGAAGGAGCGUCACAGCUGCUGGUUACCAUGGCAACAGUGGUACCUGAAGAAGGAGUGGCGUGGUUAGUUUAUAUGUGGUCAUACAGACAUAUAUUGUGGUUACAUCACAAGAUUCAGCACUUGUGUUUCUCUCCCAGUGUGUUGUAGCUAAUAAUAACAGAAUCCAGGACUGGGAACUGUUUCACUCUGCCUGUUAUUCUGCUACAGAGAGAUCUGCAGAGACCUGUACACAGCAUGCAGAAGGACUUCAGACCAGUCUAUUUAAAUUCCACUCAUGCAUUGUUUGGUUUUUUUUUUUUCUUCUUCUUUCAAACAACAUGUAUCUAGAUGUAAAUAAAGUGUGUGUUAUUUGAAGAAGCUUACACAGCACAAUCUAAGAUGGUCAUCAUAGUAAACAUUAUACCUCUGUGGAUGGAAAUCUGCCAGUCCACCACUUUGGUCCAGCCUAAAAUUUCCCAAUAACUAUUAUGUCAUUGUCAUGACAUUUUGUAGAUAUUCAUGGUCUCCAGAGGAUGAAUCCGACUGAUUUUGGUGAUCCCAUGCCUUUUCCUUGAGUGCCACCAUGAGGUUGUCAUUUGUGGUUAAGAUUGAAAUGUCUUCACAACUUUUGGACCUAUUUUCGUGAAGUCUGGUACAGAUAAGCUAUCCAUGGUGACCAGAGGAUGAAUCCAAACAAAUUUGGUGACAUCUAGCGCCGUCAUCUGGUCAAAAUUUGAAUUUGCCCCUUUUGACCAAAUACUUGCAAGUGACAUCCUCAUGCGCUUGUGUUUAGUGCUAAUUAGCAAAUGUCAUGGCGAACAUGGUAAACAUAAACUCACAGUCUCACAGAGCUGCUCUCAUGGCUGUAGAUGCUUAGUCUUGUUCAAGCGGUAAUUUAUUUUGCCUGCAGAAAAUGGAGCACCCCAAACAUUCAUGAUUACAGAUAAAGACAAACACAUGCACAAUACUUAAUACACCAAUUAUUUUGUUGUUUCCUUCUGAGAAUGUUGUCUUCCACUUCUAAUUCAUACUGAUGCUGUUUAAAUUUUAAAUUGUUCAUUUUCUGUUGGGACCAUGCUGUUUGUUCUCAUUUGGCGACUGAGAUGAUUAAAAGGAAAUGAAGUUAUUAUUCUGCAACGUUCUGUAAUUAUUUAGUCUUGGGACAGUGAGGUAAAAUUGAAAUGGGAACAUUCUUUAAUGUCCUGCCUACUUUCCUGCAAAGAAAGAAAACAAUCUCCAUUGAUAAUAUGUUGGUUUGAGCUGGCUUUGACAGGGGCUCAAUAAUAUGGAGCACCCUCUCCUGAUCAUACUAAUACUGAAUACACAGGCCUACAAGUAUACAAAAAUAUCCAAAUAAAAUAAAUCAUGGCUCAGUGUUUUUUUUUUCUUUGUCCAUAGUGAUGUCUUAAUGACAGUACAGUAAAAACAAACAGCGUUACUUCACAAUGUUGUUAUGUAUACAGAAAGGUCCUAGAUGCAUGACUCAGACAAGGUGAGGAUUGAUUACAGAAAGGUUUAUUGGAUUUGGAAAGGCUGGUAUAGAGUUGGGUGACUGGGAACGGGGGAGUGGAGUGCGGCCAGUGUGGGUGGGGAUGGUAGGGGGAAACGUGGCUGGUGCUGACUAGACACAGCAGAGAAUCAGAUAGAGUAGCAGGCUGAAGAACUGGCAGGCGAGUAGUGAUCCUGAACGUAGGGAAAGCAGUAUAGAAGCGCAAAGUCAGCAAAACAACAAGUAUUGGCCUGAAACAUUGACUACUACAGUAGUAGUCGCAACAAUGAUCUGGCGAAGAAUGCAUGGGAAAGCAGGGGUAGAUAUGCUGCAGUUGAUGAGCUGAUUCUGGAGGGGGGGGGAGCCAUGCCAGUACAGUGUGGUAUACAGCGGAGUGCCACUAAAUAAUAUGUUCAGAUAUCGUUUUUCAUGUUUCCAGAUUCAAGUUUCAUGUAUGGCAUCACCUAAUCAACAAGAUUCACAUAUAGUUGAUAACUUGCUCCUACUACAGACUCCAUAUUUUAAUUCUUGCUCUGGUAGGUGAGAGAUUCACCUUCUGUCCAGCAGAGGGCAGCAAAUAUUAAUGUUAAAAUGAAUCUGGUGUCCAUUCCCUGUUAUGAUAAUGAUAAAAAAAAAAAAAAAAAAAUGGAUUAAAAUCUGCAUCUGUGGUUAGUAACAAGAAGACGAUAUAAACGUAGUACAAAGUAUUUUAUUGUAAAUGUUUGAAAUACUACAGUACAUUUGUGGUUAUAGUUUUGACAAAAGGGCUAAAGAAAAAAGUAACAAAAAUAAA